AAAAAGAAGAAAAAAGAAAGAAAAAACCUCUCAAUAAGCAUAAACUUCAUGUCUUAAUGAUGUUAGUACCCAAAAACAUGAGUCAUUACAAUUUGUUUGAAGUAUUUUACACCGAACAAAGAAGUCAAACCACUGGUUAAGUUUUUUUCCCAUUAUUAAUAACUCCUCAACACGAUAAUUUAACAUUUAUCAUGUUAAAAAAAGUGCCUCAAUAGCACCGUCUGCAUUUUUAAAACAGUGGGAGGAAGUUCAUUAAGGCAAGAAAGGCAAUUCGGGUGGUCGUGACCUCUUUAAAAGAUGCACAGCUUAUCAAUUCAGAAAAGGUACCUGAAGCAAAGAGAGGUCAGUUGCUAGCUGAGACAAAAUGCCAGCAACAAAAGCAUCCCCUGCACCAGUGGUGUCAACUGCAUCCACCUUUAGACCCUUAACUCUUCCACUGAAUUCCUGCAUAAUACAAAUCACCAUGCACUUUCAAUUCAAACAUUAUAUGAUCAGUUACUGACUAUCUUUAUGAGAGUAGAGAUGAGAGUAGUUGUUGGGCACUUACAAGCACUAUAGUAUAAUAGAAUAAAGAGCCAUGAGUCAUGAGUCAUGACAACUAGAUUACAGUAGGAUAAGGUAACGGAUGCUGAAGCUCAUUCACCAAAGUGAGUAUAGCUUAAUUGGCUAGCAACCAAAAGGCCAGUGGUUUGAAACCCCUAUUUUACUUCAACAACAAAAAAACAAACUCCUUGUCAUCCUCCCUUCAACCAAGGAAUCAUCAAGCCUUUCCUCAACAGUGUUUGUGAUGAGCAUGUUUCUUGAUUAAAUAAACCAAAUCAAUUACCCAACCCUAGCCACUGCGUCAAAACCCAGCAGAGGAGAAACGGCAAAGAAUGAGCAUGUUUAAAAAAUUAUCUACCGUGAUGAUCUUCCUUGCCGUUUUUUGGUUUGAUGUUUUGCCAUAUUGACUUAGUUCAUUUUGGCUUGUUCAUGCUUAACACAGAAGCUGCUACCCGGCAAGAUCAAUCCAUGAUUGACUCUGAAAUGGCAUGUUGGAAUUCUUGUCAAGGAAGAAAAAGAGUUGGGAUUCUCUAAAAAGAAGUCAGACAAUCAAGGCAGGGAUUGUUGGCCUGGAAUCUCAGUCUCCCCUCAUACACUGGGAAGUAAUUUUCUUUUUCUUUAUAUGGUAAUUUGUCGAAUGCAAAAUAUGAGCACAAUGUACGAUAUGCUCACCUUGGUGUAAUAUCUACAGCCGCCAGGACCUUCAGUGACCAGAAGCAAUUUAAGAUUUGGAUGAAACAGUUUACGAACAACAGCAUCAUCAAAUGGAUCUUCUCCUCUUGUCAGAAAACUAAUCUCUUCUUCACUUAUCUGAAAAUUUAGAGUAAUAUAUAUGUCAGCUUUCCUUUUUCUUUAUUUGAUAUCUCAUUUAAAAUUUCACAUUGGCCGGACAGGUUAGUUACGCCCACAGAUCUACAGCAUUUAUCUUGAUGAUUUCAUGCGAAAGUAUGGAAUCUACCUUAAUAAUAUCAGCAGUCUCCCAUAUGCUCAGAAUCCCUUCAAUUGCACUAUCUGCAGAAGGCCACAGAGGGAGCCUCAGAUUCGGAUCAUAGGAAAGAACUGCACCAGCAUCUUUUGCGGCUUUUGCAGCGGCAAUGUGAGCAGACUUGCAUGGUUCAGUAAUCAGACUGAUAGAACCAUAAUGGAAGAUCUUUGCCUAUGAAACCAGAUGAUAAAGAUCAAAUGUAUGCUUAGUGACAUGCCCCCGAUCCCCUCCCCCAACAGAACACAAAAAAGGUGGCGGAAUUGAAAUAAAAGGUAAAGCAAAAGUAUGCAUACAAAAUUAUAGUAAUAUUCCCUAAUCUAUUAGCUUAAAGCAUAAAGCUAAUAGAUUGACAUUGUAUCAAAUCAUGAAGCCCUAAACGCAAAGCGUUGCAAUGUUAUUUCUUUACGGAUGGAUAUUGAUAGUCACUUGUUGAGUCUUAUCA